UACGUAGGGGGCAAGCGUUGUCCGGAUUUAUUGGGCGUAAAGAGCGCGUAGGCGGCCUUGCAAGUCCGUUGUGAAAACUCGAGGCUCAACCUCGAGACGCCGGUGGAAACUGCAAAGCUAGAGUCCGGAAGAGGAGAGUGGAAUUCCUGGUGUAGCGGUGAAAUGCGCAGAUAUCAGGAGGAACACCCGUGGCGAAAGCGGCUCUCUGGGACGGUACUGACGCUGAGACGCGAAGGCGUGGGGAGCAAACAGG
rnacentral:rRNA from 1 species